AUUAUCACCCUGCAAUAGGCGGAGGGAUAUUGUUUUGGCCUUGUCCGCCCGUCUUUCCGUCCAUCCGGCACUUUUGUGUUGGGAGCCAUAUCUUGGAAGUGCUUUGGUGGAUUUCAUUGAAACUUGGUAUGAGUAUAUGUAUAGAUAAGAGGAUGAUGCAUGCCAAAUGGCAUUGUACACUAUCUGUUAAUAACGGAGUUAUGGCCCUUCGAACCUAAAAAAAUGCUUUUUUACCUGAGUGUCAAAUAUAACACUUUUGUGUCCAGAAGCUAAUUAGCGGGGGAUAUCAAUUCAAUGAAUUUGCUUGUUAUUAAUUGAAGGGAAAUAAACCUGUUAUUUUGUCUGUCAUUAUGGUGUUUAAAGUCACAUUUAAUGGCAUCCAACCUACUUUAUUUCAAAUACAGUAACACCUGGCGCCGUGACCUGGAUGCAGAUUCUAAGCAGAUGGGCCAAAAUGGGGGCAGCUAUAGAGACUCGCCUGGAACUGACAAGCCUGGAGGGAGCUGGUUGACUGUUGGCGAGAUGGGACAACAGACGAAAAAUAAACGAACCUACUUGAUUUGAUAAACAUUUUUAUGUUUUUCAGUUUCGUCGGAAGACAUUUCCCACCAACCAUCCUGUCUUGAAAGAAAUAACUUUUGAACCCGAUUAUCUGAUAUUUUCCAGUUUCCCCUCACAACAAUUUGCAUCAAACCUCUUGUCUGCUCCUCAGCUGAAAUCAUCAUCUAGCAGUCACAAUAGUUGAGCGGUUGGAGAGGCAUGCAUUGCGUCCUACUACUGCUCAGACUAUAUCAUGUUUGGCAGACAAAACAUGCUGAUCAAAAAGAAUGUGUACCACAGGGGCCAGUGUUUCCAUUUGAGUGAUUGACAAGAAGAAGAAGAGAUGAGAAAUGUUAUCAUCAUAUUUUAGUCCCUACAUUUAUAGUGUACAGCUCAAUGUAUUGAACCGGUGUUGUAGAAUAUAAUU